rnacentral:rRNA from 1 species
UACGUAGGGUGCGAGCGUUGUCCGGAAUUACUGGGCGUAAAGGGCUCGUAGGCGGCCAACUAAGUCAGACGUGAAAUCCCCCGGCUUAACCGGGGAACUGCAUCUGAUACUGGAUGGCUUGAGUUCGGGAGAGGGAUGCGGAAUUCCAGGUGUAGCGGUGAAAUGCGUAGAUAUCUGGAGGAACACCGGUGGCGAAGGCGGCAUCCUGGACCGACACUGACGCUGAGGAGCGAAAGCCAGGGGAGCAAACGGG